CGCGUAGGCGGAUUAACAAGUUGGGGGUGAAAUCCCGGAGCUCAACUCCGGAACUGCCUUCAAAACUGUUAGUCUAGAGUUCGAGAGAGGUGAGUGGAAUUCCUAGUGUAGAGGUGAAAUUCGUAGAUAUUAGGAAGAACACCAGUGGCGAAGGCGGCUCACUGGCUCGAUACUGACGCUGAGGUGCGAAAGCGUGGGGAGCGAACA
rnacentral:rRNA from 1 species